rnacentral:tRNA from 1 species
AUAAAGUUCAGUGAUGGAAUGCUUGUCUUGUAUGCAUGAGGCCUUGGGUUCAAUUCUCAAUAU